UACGUAGGCAGCGAGCGUUGUUCGGAGUUACUGGGCGUAAAGGGUGUGUAGGCGGUUCUUUAAGUUUGGUGUGAAAUCUCCCGGCUCAACCGGGAGGGUGCGCCGAAUACUGAGGGACUUGGAGUAUGGGAUGGGAAAGUGGAAUUCCUGGUGUAGCGGUGAAAUGCGCAGAUAUCAGGAAGAACACCAAUGGCGAAAGCAGCUCUCUGGGACGGUACUGACGCUGAGACGCGAAAGCGUGGGGAGCGAACAGG
rnacentral:rRNA from 1 species